rnacentral:rRNA from 1 species
GACGAACGCUGGCGGCGUGCUUAACACAUGCAAGUCGAACGGAAAGGCCCUGCUUGCAGGGUGCUCGAGUGGCGAACGGGUGAGUAACACGUGGGUGAUCAGCCCCUUACUUUGGGAUAAGCCUGGUCAACUGGGUCUAAUACUGGAUAGGACCAUGCUUUAGGUGGUGUGGUGGAAAGAUUAGUUUCGGUUAGGGAUGAGCUCGCGGCCGAUCAGCUUGUUGGUGGGGUAAUGGCCUACCAAGGCGUCGACGGGUAGCCGGCCUGAGAGGGUGGACGGCCACAUUGGGACUGCGAUACGGGCCAGAAGCCUGCGGGAGGCAGCAGUGGGGAAUAUUGCACAAUGGGCGCAAGCCUGAUGCAGCGAAGCUGCGUGGGGGGUGACGGCCUUCGGGUUGUGAACUACAUUCGGCCAUGACGAAGCCCUUGUGGUGACGGUAGUGGUAGAAGAAGCACCGGCUAACUACGUG